rnacentral:rRNA from 1 species
GCCAGAAGUCAGUGUCCUAACCGUAAGGAGGGAGCUGCCAAAGGCAGGGUUGAUGAUUGGGGUUAAGUCGUAACAAGGUAUCCUUACCGGAAGGUGGGGAUGGAUCACCUCCUUUCUAUGGAG